GACGAACGCUGGCGGCGUGCUUAACACAUGCAAGUCGAACGGAGUGGCGAACGGGUGAGUAACACGUGGGUGAUUUGCCGUGCACUUCGGGAUAAGCUUGGGAAACUGGGUCUAAUACCGGAUAGUGCAAGAUGAGCUCGCGGCCUAUCAGCUUGUUGGUGGGGUACUGGCCUACCAAGGCGUCGACGGGUAGCCGGCCUGGGAGGGUGUACGGCCACAUUGGGACUGAGGUACGGCCCAGACUCCUACGGGGGGCAGCAGUGGGGAAUAUUGCACAAUCUGCGGAAGCCUGAUGCAGCGACGCCGCGUUGGGGAUGAAGGCCUUCGGGGUGUAAACGCCUUUCGACAGGGACGCGGUACCUGUAUAAGAAGCACCGGCUAACUACGUGCCAGCAGCCGCGGUAAUUC
rnacentral:rRNA from 1 species